rnacentral:rRNA from 1 species
UACGAAGGGGGCUAGCGUUGUUCGGCAUUACUGGGCGUAAAGCGCGCGCAGGCGGGUCAUCAAGUCAGGGGUGAAAGCCCAGAGCUCAACUCUGGAACUGCCCUUGAAACUGGUGACCUUGAGUACGGGAGAGGUGAGUGGAAUUCCCAGUGUAGAGGUGAAAUUCGUAGAUAUUGGGAAGAACACCGGUGGCGAAGGCGGCUCACUGGCCCGUAACUGACGCUCAGGCGCGAUAGCGUGGGGAUCACUCAGU